rnacentral:tRNA from 1 species
CCCGGAUAGUUAACAUAACACUUAGGUCGUGACCCUAAAAAUAAGAUCUCCAUCUUCCGGGUC